UACGUAGGUGGCAAGCGUUGUCCGGAUUUACUGGGCGUAAAGGGCGCGCAGGCGGUCUGUUAAGUGCAGGGUGAAAGCUCCCGGCUCAACUGGGAGAGGUCCUUGCAUACUGGCGGACUUGAGGGGGGUAGAGGAAAGUGGAAUUCCCGGUGUAGUGGUGAAAUGCGUAGAGAUCGGGAGGAACACCUGUGGCGUAGGCGGCUCGCUGGGCCGCUCCUGACGCUGAGGCGCGAAGGCGUGGGGAGCGAACGGG
rnacentral:rRNA from 1 species